rnacentral:lncRNA from 1 species
UUUGACUCGAAACAGGCCACCACCCUUUCGGUGCCCCAGACGUCGGCCUCGGCCACUCGGAUGCAGCAACUCUUUGGAAGAACCCAGAACGGAUAUUCCACUCCCGAGUACUACUAUAAACAAUAACUAUAGACACAGCAGAGCAGAGGCAUAUGCCUUUACGAAAGUUUAUCAGGAUGCACACUUCAGAUGUGUACGUAAGGUAUAACCCAACAGAAAACUUUUUGAUAAAGCAGAAUUCUAGAUCACGUCCUAACUAGCGCAGGAUUUAGGGGUGGGGCGAGCAAGAACGUUGUUACCUACUUUAAGAUCCCAAUAUUCUGGGUUGCGUUUGACAAGAGGACACCAACCCCUUGGUUGGAAUGGGUGCCAAUUAUUGUUUAAAAAAAAAAAAAGACAAUAAGAGGUAAAUAAAGCAACCCUCCCCCUCCUCUUGCCUCACAUUCUCAGUGCCUACAAGAGAUUUAAAAAAGAAAAGCCCAGGAAAUUCCAAGCAUGUAUACCUCCCCAGAUAAGACAGAAAACCAAACUUUUUAAAGUAAGCAUUUUGAUCUUCAUGCAAACAUGGAGUUAAUCUCGGGACAGCUAAGCACAAUUACACAGAUGAAUUCAUUGUGUGAAAUGGUCAUUGAGCGUAGAGAAUGUUAGUGCCAGUUCAGAGUCCAAGCUCUGUAGGGGUCAUACCUGAAUCUGCUGAGUUGAGCACAUGGAAACCUCAGUGUGCAUUCAGGCUUGACCAUUCCUUUUAAUUUAUUUCAGAGUUGCUUGCGGGGUGGCUUCAGGAAAUACACAUCGAACGUCCAGAGUGGUGUUUGAAGAUGUGCAGGGUUUUGACGCGUGUUAAACUGCCAAUAUAAAUAAAAGUCUUUGGGACCACAGUUACAUAUGUUAAAGCUGCUACUAAGGAUAAAUGAAUCUUCCAGCUAUAAGGGAGAGCCAAGAAGCCAGAACAUUCUGCUCGAGACUGCAGCAGGGCCACCACAGAAGAUCCUUAGAGACAGCCUGUCACAUCGUCACCAUAGCCCCAAUAAGACUCCCAAGGUGACCCAGCUACUCAAAGGUGUCAUAAAAAAAUGAAACCUGCUUUUUGAUUCCUUGAGCCAGCCAGAAGGAAGUGAGUAUUUUUUAAAAUCCGGUUUCAAGUACCUCAAAAUACUGGGCGACUGU